GUGUGAGCGGUAGAGGAGCGUUGUAAUCGGGCUGAAGUCGUACCGUAAGGAGCGGUGGACUGAUUACAAGUGAGAAUGUUGGCAUCAGUAGCGAGAUGUGGGUGAGAAUCCCACAGGCCGAAAAUCUAAGGUUUCCUCAGGAAGGUUCGUCCGCUGAGGGUUAGUCGGGACCUAAGCCGAGGCCGAAAGGCGUAGGUGAUGGACAAUCGGUUGAUAUUCCGAUACCACUAUUAUCGUUAUUAUCGAUGGUGUGACGGAGAAGGAUAGGAUGUGCUAGCUAUUGGAUGCUAGUCUAAGCGUUUAGGGAGUUAAGGUAGGCAAAUCCGCUUUAACAAUCCUGAGGCGUGAUGGGGAAGGUUCCACGGAACCGAAGUAUCUGAUUCCAUGCUUCCAAGAAAAGCAUCUAGAGAGAAAAAUAGUGCCCGUACCGCAAACCGACACAGGUAGAUGAGGAGAGAAUCCUAAGGCCCGCGGAAGAAUUGCAGUUAAGGAACUAGGCAAAUUGACCCCGUAACUUCGGGAGAAGGGGUGCCUGCGAGAGCAGGCCGCAGAGAAUAGGCCCAAGCAACUGUUUAGCAAAAACACAGGUCUCUGCUAAAGCGAAAGCUGAUGUAUAGGGGCUGACGCCUGCCCGGUGCUGGAAGGUUAAGGGGAACACUUAGCGCAAGCGAAGGUGUGAAC
rnacentral:rRNA from 1 species